CCGCCGCCGCCGCCGCCCCGCCCACUGCACACCUGCUUCCGCCUGACGUGGACCUGGGAGCGGUUCCAAACCCUGACGGUUUGGGGUUUGUAAGCACUUGGAAGCUGCUUUGGAUAAAGAGCGCUGAGUCCCAGGAUGCAAGCUUGGCCUCACUGCCUUCAUUUUAUGUGUGUCUCCUUUGCUCUGGGUCAGACUCCUGCUUGAAUCUGCACAGGUCACAGGAAGAGGAGAGGAAGGAACGAGGAUGGAGAUAGGAAUGUAGACAAAGAUGAGAACAGGAUGAAAAGGACUUAGAACCACGAGAGGACAGGAGGAGAAGGGACAGAGAGGAGCUGAGUAUGAGAACAGAACUGAAGCUGUGGAGAUAGAGUUUUGUCUCAGAAGAAUAAAGUGAAUGGACCUAAGAGCUGCAUGUAAGUAGAUUCAUUUGAUAUCUCUCAGAUUAGUAACCCCCGCUGCUCCUGGCACCCUCCCCAGGACUCUGGGAGAAAUCUCCUCAGGGCAGGCACCUGAGAGGAAUUCAGUACCUGGUGAUUUUCCAGUCCCCCAGAGAGGAGACAGGGAGGAGAGACCAAAAAACCACGUGUCUGUUUUCUGGAGAGUAGUUUAAAUACCCUGUGGGAGUGGUCUUGAGCAUCUCUGGGGGAGGAGCCAUGUUUGGCAGGACUUUCUGAGGGGCAGGGUCUGGACAGAGAGGUGGGGCUUCCACCAGAACAUUCCAGAUUCUUUGGGUAUAUGGAUGCCAGGGUGCCAGGGGCUAAGGUGGAGCUUCCACCAAACGGAAUGAGUUAUUGUGCAUGGGAAACUAUGAGUGAAAUUCAAAAUAACUUUUCUGAGUAGAAGAGGCUAGCUGAAAAUUAUAUUAUGGUGUGAUGGCUAAUCUUUAUUGUCAGCCUCAUGGGAGUUAGGAUAACCUGGGAGGUAACCAUCUGGACAUGUCUGUGAGAGCAUCUCCAGAGACGCUGAACUGAGGUGGGGAGACCCACUCUGAAUGUGGGGACAGCACUUGUCUUAGUCCCAGAAAGCGAGCUGAGCACCACAUUCCUCUCUUUCUGACUGCAGAUCUGCCCCAUUCUCCUUGCUAUGAUGGUAAGGCAAAAUCAACCCUUCCUCUGUCAUGUUCUCAGGUAUUCUGUAAUGAGUAAAGAGGUUUCUCCAGAAAUUAGCACCACAUGAUCCAGCUAUUCCACUCGUGUGAACACACCCAAAGGCUCUGUGCCCUCGGUAUCCCUAGGGAUGCCCACUCAUUCAUGUUUAUCACCUCUUUGGUCAUGGUAGUAAAAAAAUGGAACCAGCCUAGAUGUUCAUCAGUAGAUGAAUGGAUAAUUAAAUUGUGGUCUAUACAAUCUAUACAAUGUGAAUUUAUUUGCCAUAAAGAAAAAUGAAUUUAUGAAAUUCAUAAGUAAGUGGGUGGAAAAUUAUUUUAA